rnacentral:rRNA from 1 species
UACGGAGGGUGCGAGCGUUGUCCGGAAUCACUGGGCGUAAAGGGCGCGUAGGCGGCCACCGCAAGUCGAUUGUGAAAUCUCCGGGCUUAACUCGGAAAGGUCAACCGAUACUGCGGGGCUAGAGUGCAGAAGGGGCAACUGGAAUUCUCGGUGUAGCGGUGAAAUGCGUAGAUAUCGAGAGGAACACCUGCGGCGAAGGCGGGUUGCUGGGCUGACACUGACGCUGAUGUGCGAAAGCGAGGGGAGCAAACAGG